AAGAGUUGCAAAACUCCCAAACCAUUGUGAACAUACCUUCAACGUUGCUUCGGCGGGUUGGCCCCGGUCUCCGGGGUCCCCGGCCCUACUCGGGCGCCCGCCGGAGGUAUCUAACUCUUGAUUAUUUUGGCAUCUCUGAGUAGCUUAUAAAUAAGUUA
rnacentral:misc_RNA from 1 species